AGUGAACGCUGGCGGUAGGCCUAACACAUGCAAGUCGAACGGCAGCACAGGAGAGCUUGCUCUCUGGGUGGCGAGUGGCGGACGGGUGAGGAAUACAUCGGAAUCUACUUUUUCGUGGGGGAUAACGUAGGGAAACUUACGCUAAUACCGCAUACGACCUACGGGUGAAAGCAGGGGACCUUCGGGCCUUGCGCGAUUGAAUGAGCCGAUGUCGGAUUAGCUAGUUGGCGGGGUAAAGGCCCACCACGGCGACGAUCCGUAGCUGGUCUGCGAUGAGGAUCAGCCGCACUGGAACUGAGACACGGUCCAGACUCCUACGGGAGGCAGCAGUGGGGAAUAUUGGACAAUGGGCGCAAGCCUGAUCCAGCCAUACCGCGUGGGUGAAGAAGGCCUUCGGGUUGUAAAGCCCUUUUGUUGGGAAAGAAAUCCAGCUGGCUAAUACCCGGUUGGGAUGACGGUACCCAAAGAAUAAGCACCGGCUAACUUCGUGCCAGCCGCCGCCGUAA
rnacentral:rRNA from 1 species